UCAGGAUGAACGCUGACAGAAUGCUUAACACAUGCAAGUCUACUUGAUUCUACUUGGGUAGUUGAUGGUGGCGGACGGGUGAGUAACGCGUAAAGAAUCUGCCCUUUAGCUUUGGGAUAACCUUUGGAAACGGAGGCUAAUACCGGAUAUUAUGGAGACCGUCGCAUGACGACCUCAUGAAAGCUAUAUGCGCUAGAGGAGGACUUUGCGUCCCAUUAGUUAGUUGGUGAGGUAAUGGGUCACCAAGACCGCGAUGGGUAGCCGGCCUGAGAGGGUGAUCGGCCACAAGGGAACUGAGACACGGUCCCUUACUCCUACGGGAGG
rnacentral:rRNA from 1 species